rnacentral:rRNA from 1 species
GAGGAAUAUUGGUCAAUGGGCGAGAGCCUGAACCAGCCAUGCCGCGUGCAGGAUUAAGGCCCUAUGGGUCGUAAACUGCUUUUGAAUGGGAAUAAUGUGAGGCACGUGUGCUUUAUUGCAGGUACCAUUUGAAUAAGGAUCGGCUAACUCCGUGCCAGCAGCCGCGGUAAUACGGAGGAUCCGAGCGUUAUCCGGAUUUAUUAGGUUUAAAAGGGUACGUAGGCUGCUAUGUAAGUCAGGGGUGAAAUACACGGGCUUAACCUGUGUGCUGCCCUUGAUACUGCGUGGCUAGAGUUGUUACGGGGCAAGCGGAAUGUGCGGAGUAGCGGUGAAAUGCAUAGAUACCGCACAGAACACCGAUAGCGAAGGCAGCUUGCCAGAUACACACUGACGCUGAGGUACGAAAGCGUGGGUAGCGAACAGGAUUAGAUACCCUGGUAGUCCACGCCGUAACGAUGGUUACUGGCCCUAUGCAA